GAUGAACGCUAGCGGCAGGCUUAACACAUGCAAGUCGAGGGGUAGAGGAAGCUUGCUUCCUUGAGACCGGCGCACGGGUGCGUAACGCGUAUGCAACCUACCUUUUACAGAGGGAUAGCCCAGAGAAAUUUGGAUUAAUACCUCAUGGUAUAUAUCAUUCGCAUGUUUGAUAUAUUAAAGUUCCAACGGUAAAGAUGGGCAUGCGUCCUAUUAGCUAGAUGGUAAGGUAACGGCUUACCAUGGCAACGAUAGGUAGGGGUCCUGAGAGGGAGAUCCCCCACACUGGUACUGAGACACGGACCAGACUCCUACGGGAGGCAGCAGUAAGGAAUAUUGGACAAUGGGCGCAAGCCUGAUCCAGCCAUGCCGCGUGCAGGAUGACGGUCCUAUGGAUUGUAAAGCUCUUUUACCCGAGAUGAUAAUGACAGUAUCGGGAGAAUAAGCUCCGGCUAACUCCGUGCCAGCAGCC
rnacentral:rRNA from 1 species